AGUGAACGCUGGCGGUAGGCCUAACACAUGCAAGUCGAACGGCAGCACAGUAAGAGUUUGGUCUUACGGGUGGCGAGUGGCGGACGGGUGAGGAAUACAUCGGAAUCUACUUUUUCGUGGGGGAUAACGUAGGGAAACUUACGCUAAUACCGCAUACGACCUACGGGUGAAAGCAGGGGAUCUUCGGACCUUGCGCGAUUGAAUGAGCCGAUGUCGGAUUAGCUAGUUGGCGGGGUAAAGGCCCACCAAGGCGACGAUCCGUAGCUGGUCUGAGAGGAUGAUCAGCCACACUGGAACUGAGACACGGUCCAGACUCCUACGGGAGGCAGCAGUGGGGAAUAUUGGACAAUGGGCGCAAGCCUGAUCCAGCCAUGCCGCGUGGGUGAAGAAGGCCUUCGGGUUGUAAAGCCCUUUUGUUGGGAAAGAAAAGCAGCAGGUUAAUACCCCGCUGUUCUGACGGUACCCAAAGAAUAAGCACCGGCUAACUUCGUG
rnacentral:rRNA from 1 species